UACGUAGGGGGCCAGCGUUGUCCGGAAUCAUUGGGCGUAAAGAGCGCGUAGGCGGCCAGACAAGUCCGGUGUGAAAGUCACAGGCUCAACCUGUGAAUGCCGCUGGAAACUGUCUGGCUAGAGUCCGGAAGGGGCGAGUGGAAUUCCGAGUGUAGAGGUGAAAUUCGUAGAUAUUCGGAAGAACACCAGUGGCGAAGGCGGCUCACUGGUCCGGUACUGACGCUGAGGUGCGAAAGCGUGGGGAGCAAACAGG
rnacentral:rRNA from 1 species